GAUGAACGCUGGCGGCGUGCCUAAUACAUGCAGGUCGAGCGAACGGACGAGAAGCUUGCUUCUCUGAUGUUAGCGGCGGACGGGUGAGUAACACGUGGAUAACCUACCUAUAAGACUGGGAUAACUUCGGGAAACCGUAGCUAAUACCGGAUGAUAUUUUGAACCGCAUGGUUCAAAAGUGAAAGACGGUCUUGCUGUCACUUAUAGAUGGAUCCGCGCUGCAUUAGCUAGUUGGUAAGGUAACGGCUUACCAAGGCAACGAUGCAUAGCCGACCUGAGAGGGUGAUCGGCCACACUGGAACUGAGACACGGUCCAGACUCCUACGGGAGGCAGCAGUAGGGAAUCUUCCGCAAUGGGCGAAAGCCUGACGGAGCAACGCCGCGUGAGUGAUGAAGGUCUUCGGAUCGUAAAACUCUGUUAUUAGGGAAGAACAUAUGUGUAAGUAACUGUGCACAUCUUGACGGUACCUAAUCAGAAAGCCACGGCUAACUACGUG
rnacentral:rRNA from 1 species